rnacentral:rRNA from 1 species
GCCUAUGGCCGUACCACCCUGAACGUGCCCGAUCUCGCGUGGUCUCAGAAGUUAAGCAGGUUCAGCCCUGUUUAGUGCUUGGACGGGAGAUAUUUCUUCAGAAUGUGUGCUUUAGUCC